rnacentral:rRNA from 1 species
AACGAACGCUGGCGGCAUGCCUAACACAUGCAAGUCGAACGAGACCUUCGGGUCUAGUGGCGCACGGGUGCGUAACGCGUGGGAACCUGCCCUUAGGUUCGGAAUAACUCCCCGAAAGGGGUGCUAAUACCGGAUAAUGUCUUCGGACCAAAGAUUUAUCGCCUUUGGAUGGGCCCGCGUUGGAUUAGCUAGUUGGUAGGGUAAAAGCCUACCAAGGCGACGAUCCAUAGCUGGUCUGAGAGGAUGAUCAGCCACACUGGGACUGAGACACGGCCCAGACUCCUACGGGAGGCAGCAGUGGGGAAUAUUGGACAAUGGGCGAAAGCCUGAUCCGGCAAUGCCGCGUGAGUGAUGAAGGCCUUAGGGUUGUAAAGCUCUGUUAACCGGGAUGAUAAUGACAGUACCGGGAGAAUAAGCGCCGGCUAACUCCGUG